GAUGAACGCUGGCGGCGUGCCUAAUACAUGCAAGUCGAGCGAACAGACGAGGAGCUUGCUCCUCUGACGUUAGCGGCGGACGGGUGAGUAACACGUGGAUAACCUACCUAUAAGACUGGGAUAACUUCGGGAAACCGGAGCUAAUACCGGAUAAUAUAUUGAACCGCAUGGUUCAAUAGUGAAAGACGGUUUUGCUGUCACUUAUAGAUGGAUCCGCGCCGCAUUAGCUAGUUGGUAAGGUAACGGCUUACCAAGGCAACGAUGCGUAGCCGACUGAGAGGGUGAUCGGCCACACUGGAACUGAGACACGGUCCAGACUCCUACGGGAGGCAGCAGUAGGGAAUCUUCCGCAAUGGGCGAAAGCUUGACGGAGCAACGCCGCGUGAGUGAUGAAGGUCUUCGGAUCGUAAAACUCUGUUAUUAGGGAAGAACAAAUGUGUAAGUAACUAUGCACGUCUUGACGGUACCUAAUCAGAAAGCCACGGCUAACUACGUG
rnacentral:rRNA from 1 species